UAAUCUGUUUUUCUCUGUGAUUCUCAGGGCAUUUCUUAAAUUCCAGAUGUUUCAUAUCUUAACCAAAUGUUUGUGUGUAUAUGGGCGGGUGGAAACAGAUGUGCAAUAAGGCAGGAUGAUGGUCUGUGGUUCAUAAACAAGAGGUGAACCUGUCUGUUUGUCCACAGCGGGAGUUGGCUUUUCUCCGCCAGAAGGGGAAGCAUCGUAGGUUAGUCACCAACCAGAAUCUAGGAGACGGCCUGGCUGUGUGUCUGCUCUGAGAGACUUUUUACUGUCUAUAGACGCCCACGUGGAGUCCUGGGUCUAAAAUCCAGCGGCUGCUUUUUCCAGGACGUUUGCAGCUGUUUCUUCAUGCCGCGUUAAAGAGAAAUUCCUGGCCAGCCCAUCAAUCUGUGUGGCCUACGUGCUGCUCUGCCCUUCUCUCUGUUCUUUGUGAGCAUGUUGCUGCGCUGAAAGACGGUUCUACCUUUGUAACGGCAGAGGAUGGAGAGCGGGAGCAUCAGCCUAGCGAAACUCUACAGGGCUAGUGCGCUUGGGCAAGGGACUCUGCUGCCACUUUUUUGGUCCUUUCCGUUGACCCUGCUCUGGAGGAGGCCAAGGAUUGGGGUGUAGGACAGGAAAAGUUUGAGACUGACCAGGAUCCCAGGGGUUCAUGGCCAGUGUGAGAGGAACUGGGGGGUCUCGGUCCAGUCCCCAGGAGCCAGUGACAUUACACUAAUCCCCUGUGCAGCUGGCCCAUGGAGGAAGAAGUAACACCGGUUUUGGAAUAGCAGAGACUUUUAUCUGACACGAUAUCACUUUGUUGUUGAGACAGAUGAGCAUGAGAGCUUGCCCCCACCUCUGUCUGAUCCGAGCGAUCAAUCGUGAAAUGAGGCAUGAGCCCGGGGGUCCAUCCAGGGCCGGGUUGCCUGGCCGUCCUGCUGUCCACACUGUGCUGUCCUGCUGUCCUGCAUAGAGGGACAUCCAGCCUCCAGGGCUGUCUCCACUACAGAGUUAACAGGAAACACCUGGGAUCUGCCUGCUGGGGGCCCCUCCUAUCUUGCACCUCUCCAGCAAUUUCUCGCUUCUGUUUUUUUGGCAAUAGAUCAGCCAGGGAAAUGCAAACCCCUGCGUUUGGAAGCACAUGUGCUGUGGAUGUUGAUGGAAAAGCAAGGGCUGUACUGGCCUUGAUGGGACGAGCAGCCACAUUCUCUCACCUGAGCUCCGUGUCCCCAAACGCUGCUCCCACUUCACUCACCGAGUUGCAGUCAUGGCUGCUGCCACUGAGGAAGAGUGGGCGGCGACUUAAGAAUCAGGGCUACAUCGUCAGCUGGUGUGAAGGAGAGUAACUACAUUGCCGUGGAUGGAAGACUGCGAAUCUGCCCCAGCUUUCAAACAGCUGAUCUUGGUGGGGUGUGUGUAUGUGUGUGUCUCUCUGUGGGUUUUAAUUGGGACUUUUCACACUAGGCACUUAAUUAUUGAAACAAAGAUGCCUUGUUAAAACACCCACAGAUGGGGGGGGAGGAAUCUCCCCCCCCACCCCCACCCCAAACACACACCCAAAAAAGCCCUGGA
ensembl:lncRNA